rnacentral:rRNA from 1 species
AUCCUACGGGGCGCAGCAGUGAGGAAUAUUGGUCAAUGGCCGAGAGGCUGAACCAGCCAAGUCGCGUGAGGGAAGACGGCCCUACGGGUUGUAAACCUCUUUUGUCGGGGAGCAAAGCGAGUCACGUGUGACUCAUUGAGAGUACCCGAAGAAAAAGCAUCGGCUAACUCCGUGCCAGCAGCCGCGGUAAUACGGAGGAUGCGAGCGUUAUCCGGAUUUAUUGGGUUUAAAGGGUGCGCAGGCGGCCUGUUAAGUCAGCGGUAAAAGCCCGGGGCUCACCCCCGGCGAGCCGUUGAAACUGGCGG